GAUAACCGGUUGAUAUUCAAAUUUGAGAGUGAUGAUGAGUUUGUUACCGAACUGUCAAACUGUGGUUUACUCAAUAAGUUGAAAGACAAAGAACGGCAUAUGUUUUGUUUCCUUCAUCUUACAAUUCAAGAGUUUCUUGCAGCACAACACGUCGUUGAUGACAUCAAAAAUGUUGAAUCAUUCUUAUCUGAGCACAUUGAUGAUCCCAGGUGGCAUUUAGUGAUCUUGUUUGUUGCUGGAUUGAUUGGAGAUAAAAUUAAACACUGCAGGCGGAAAGAACAACGGAAAGUUUAAACAACGAAAGAUGCAAAGGAGUAAUGCAAUGGUUUCACCAGAGAUUUAAAGACUGCAAGUUAGGAAAAAGACUAACUAAGGUUAAUCAAGAUAUCUUAUUUUUAAUAAGAUGUGUUCAUGAAAUGCAGAAAGUUAGUGUCAUGGAAUCAAUUGCAUCACUUGUGUGUUCUGGCAAUGAAGAGCAUAAAGAAUUAUUUGUGGAAAACAUUGAUAUUGCGCCUGUGGAAUCUCCUGCUUUAUUUGAAUUUAUAAAUCACAUCAAAAGCUUGAACAAACUGUCGAUCAAUUUGUGUAGAAUAGAGAAUUUAGUCGCUCGUGAAUUAGCCAAUAAGUUAUUGAUGAAAACUAA